rnacentral:rRNA from 3 species
UGAUGACGAGGCACUACGGUGCUGAAGCGACAAAUGCCCUGCUUCCAGGAAAAGCCUCUAAGCAUCAGGUAACAUCAAAUCGUACCCCAAACCGACACAGGUGGUCAGGUAGAGAAUACCAAGGCGCUUGAGAGAACUCGGGUGAAGGAACUAGGCAAAAUGGUGCCGUAACUUCGGGAGAAGGCACGCUGAUAUGUAGGUGAAGCGACUUGCUCGUGGAGCUGAAAUCAGUCGAAGAUACCAGCUGGCUGCAACUGUUUAUUAAAAACACAGCACUGUGCAAACACGAAAGUGGACGUAUACGGUGUGACGCCUGCCCGGUGCCGGAAGGUUAAUUGAUGGGGUUAGCGGUAACGCGAAGCUCUUGAUCGAAGCCCCGGUAAACGGCGGCCGUAACUAUAACGGUCCUAAGGUAGCGAAAUUCCUUGUCGGGUAAGUUCCGACCUGCACGAAUGGCGUAAUGAUGGCCAGGCUGUCUCCACCCGAGACUCAGUGAAAUUGAACUCGCUGUGAAGAUGCAGUGUACCCGCGGCAAGACGGAAAGACCCCGUGAACCUUUACUAUAGCUUGACACUGAACAUUGAGCCUUGAUGUGUAGGAUAGGUGGGAGGCUUUGAAGUGUGGACGCCAGUCUGCAUGGAGCCGACCUUGAAAUACCACCCUUUAAUGUUUGAUGUUCUAACGUGGGCCCCUUACCGGGGUUGCGGACAGUGUCUGGUGGGUAGUUUGACUGGGGCGGUCUCCUCCUAAAGAGUAACGGAGGAGCACGAAGGUUGGCUAAUCCUGGUCGGACAUCAGGAGGUUAGUGCAAUGGCAUAAGCCAGCUUGACUGCGAGCGUGACGGCGCGAGCAGGUGCGAAAGCAGGUCAUAGUGAUCCGGUGGUUCUGAAUGGAAGGGCCAUCGCUCAACGGAUAAAAGGUACUCCGGGGAUAACAGGCUGAUACCGCCCAAGAGUUCAUAUCGACGGCGGUGUUUGGCACCUCGAUGUCGGCUCAUCACAUCCUGGGGCUGAAGUAGGUCCCAAGGGUAUGGCUGUUCGCCAUUUAAAGUGGUACGCGAGCUGGGUUUAGAACGUCGUGAGACAGUUCGGUCCCUAUCUGCCGUGGGCGCUGGAGAACUGAGGGGGGCUGCUCCUAGUACGAGAGGACCGGAGUGGACGCAUCACUGGUGUUCGGGUUGUCAUGCCAAUGGCACUGCCCGGUAGCUAAAUGCGGAAGAGAUAAGUGCUGAAAGCAUCUAAGCACGAAACUUGCCCCGAGAUGAGUUCUCCCUGACUCCUUGAGAGUCCUGAAGGAACGUUGAAGACGACGACGUUGAUAGGCCGGGUGUGUAAGCGCAGCGAUGCGUUGAGCUAACCGGUACUAAUGAACCGUGAGGCUUAACCUU